CACGAAACAGGUGUCAUUCCCCGUGCAGCCAAUAGGGCCACGUCGCUGGCUUCUUCUCAGUCGUUGGAUCACGUCGCUAGCUACUUAUCAAGCGUUGGAUCAAUGCUGAGGAACACGUGCGGUGCAAACAGGCCAUGUGUGCUAGAGCUAUACAUCCAGAACCCUCCAUCAAAACCUGGAACAGAGAAGAGGGCAAGUUAUACACGAGACUCUCCGGCAAACUCUGAAAAAUAAAAGCGGCCACGUUUAAACAAGGGCGACCAUACUGCUACCCUAGACAAACUAGGCAACGGAAGAAAGCCAAUCGAAUCAUCAGGAACAUCAAUCUCUAAGGAAGUAACGAAUAGCGCAAAGACCAAGGCUCAAAGCUGGUCUGACAUCAAUAAUGCAGGUCAAAAUCACUCCACUUUUCAGAGCUAGAGCUAACACAAUGAGCUUAGGCAUCUUCACAUCAUACUAAUUGACCAAAUGAUAUAACAAGCUUUGCAAAAUCUGCAAUCCAAAAUAGUACUAAGCGACAAUGGCUUCUAAUACACUGACCAUUAUGCUUCAGGCUCAAAGCUGGUCUUACAUCAAUAAUGCAGGUCAAAAUCACUCCACUUUUCAGAGCUUGAGCCAACACAAUGAGCUUAGGCAUCUUCACAUCAUACUAAUUGACCAAAUGAUAUAACAAGCUUUGCAAAAUCUGCAAUCCAAGAUAGUACUAAGCGACAAUUGCUUCUAAUACACUGACCAUUAUGCUUCAGAAACAAUGAAAAGCUUAGGCAAAGCACCAUCCAAGAGAGUGGCAGCGCCGUCCCCCACGACGGCCCCUCCACCUGCAACCCCUGGAUCAUGAUGCAGCCGGCUCCUCCCCAGCAGAUCUCGCAGAUGGGAACAUUAACCUUGCUAGCUACGAAUCCAUGAAGCCCAAGUGGAUCGAAACAAUCUAGAACAAUUGGACAUCUGAGAGGGAAACAGAAAGUUACUGCUGCUCGAUUUUAGUGCAGAGACACCACCUGUUGCCCUUCAGCUCUUUGAACAGAGAAAGGCAGAUGGUGGCGGCAAGGGCAAGGUGACCUGCUGAGUGCUGAUGUUAGCCUGGAAGUGGGUGAUCUACAUAUGCUUCCUGCUACUGCAUUGUUACCAUAGAGAAGUCAGAGACAAAUGAUCUCUGCUUCUGCUACGAAGGAUUCUGAAAGGUAUUUAUUUACUGCUCCUUGCGCUACUCACAAAGUGACUAUUGCGAAUCCAUAAUAGUAUAUAAUAUUCUGUACGGUAAACAUGCAUAUAUACUUAUUUGCUAUCUAAUUCGUGCUAACAAAUAUCAACUAUUGAUUCCUA